CCUACGGGUGGCAGCAGUGGGGAAUAUUGCACAAUGGGGGAAACCCUGAUGCAGCGACGCCGCGUGAGUGAAGAAGUAUUUCGGUACGUAAAGCUCUAUCAGCAGGGAAGAAAAUGACGGUACCUGACUAAGAAGCCCCGGCUAACUACGUGCCAGCAGCCGCGGUAAUACGUAGGGGGCAAGCGUUAUCCGGAUUUACUGGGUGUAAAGGGAGCGUAGACGGCAGCGCAAGUCUGGAGUGAAAUCCCAUGGCUUAACCAUGGAACUGCUUUGGAAACUGUGCAGCUGGAGUGCAGGAGAGGUAAGCGGAAUUCCUAGUGUAGCGGUGAAAUGCGUAGAUAUUAGGAGGAACACCGAUUGCGAAGGCAGCUUACCAAGCUACUUCUGACGUUGAGGCACGAAAGCGUGGGGAGCAAACAGGAUUAGAUACCCCUGUAGUC
rnacentral:rRNA from 1 species